GAUGAACGCUGGCGGCGUGCCUAAUACAUGCAAGUCGAGCGAACGGACGAGAAGCUUGCUUCUCUGAUGUUAGCGGCGGACGGGUGAGUAACACGUGGAUAACCUACCUAUAAGACUGGGAUAACUUCGGGAAACCGGAGCUAAUACCGGAUGAUAUUUUGAACCGCAUGGUUCAAAAGUGAAAGACGGUCUUGCUGUCACUUAUAGAUGGAUCCGCGCUGCAUUAGCUAGUUGGUAAGGUAACGGCUUACCAAGGCAACGAUGCAUAGCCGACCUGAGAGGGUGAUCGGCCACACUGGAACUGAGACACGGUCCAGACUCCUACGGGAGGCAGCAGUAGGGAAUCUUCCGCAAUGGGCGAAAGCCUGACGGAGCGACGCCGCGUGAGUGAUGAAGGUCUUCGGAUCGUAAAACUCUGUUAUUAGGGAAGAACAUAUGUGUAAGUAACUGUGCACAUCUUGACGGUACCUAAUCAGAAAGCCACGGCUAACUACGUG
rnacentral:rRNA from 1 species